rnacentral:misc_RNA from 1 species
UCUCCGUUGGUGAAUCAGCGGAGGGAUCAUUACAGAGUUUUCACAACUCCCAACCCUUGCGAACCGUACCCAUUCUGUUCUCGUUGCUUCCGGCGGGGGGGACGGGGGGGCCCGAAGCGGCCUCCCCGCCCCGCCCGCCGGGGGCGGCGGGCCCUGCGAACCUUUAUAUCUCAUACACCAGAAACCGUCUGAGAAAACAAACAAAAUAAUCAAAACUUUCAACAACGGAUCUCUUGGCUCUG